rnacentral:tRNA from 1 species
AGGAGUGUAGCUCAAUUGGUAGAGCGCCGGUCUCCAAAAACCGAGUGUCGGGGUUUCGAUACCUGUCGCGCCUG